rnacentral:rRNA from 1 species
UACUGGGCGUAAGGGCGUGUAGGCGGCACGGUAAGUCAACCGUGAAAGCUCCCGGCUAAACUGGGAGAGGUCGGAUGAGACUGCCGAGCUAGAGGGUCGUAGAGGGGUGUGGAAUUCCGGGUGUAGUGGUGAAAUGCGUAGAGAUCCGGAGGAACACCAGAGGCGAAGGCGGCACCCUGGACGACACCAGACGCUGAGACGCGACAGCACGGGGAGCGAACGGGAUUAGAAACCCCGGUAGUCCGUGCCGUAAACGAUGUGCACUAGAUGUUCGAUCCUACGGGGGAGUGAGCGUCGCAGCCAACGCGGUAAGUGCACCGCCUGGGGAGUACGGUCGCAAGGCUAAAACUCAAAGGAAUUGACGGGGCCCCGCACAAGCAGCGGAGCGUGUGGUUUAAUUCGAGGCUACGCGAAGAACCUUACCUAGGUUUGACAUCCCCUGACCGCGUAUGAAAGUACGAAUCCGAAAGGCAGGGAGACAGGUGCUGCAUGGCUGUCGUCAGCUCGUGUCGUGAGAUGUUCGGUUAAGUCCGAAAACGAGCGCAACCCCCGGGUCUAGUUACAAGUGUCUAGACCGACUGCCUGCGACAAGUGGGAGGAAGGUGGGGAUGACGUCAAGUCAGCAUGGCCUUUACAUCUAGGGCUACACACACGCUACAAUGGCGCGCACAAUGGGAAGCAAGACCGCGAGGUGGAGCAAAUCCUGAAAGCGCGUCGUAGUUCGGAUUGCAGGCUGCAACUCGCCUGCAUGAAGCUGGAGUUGCUAGUAAACGCAGUCAGCACACUGCGUUGAAUACGUUCUCGGGGC